rnacentral:rRNA from 1 species
AGAGUUGACUGGCUCAGGACGAACGCUGGCGGCGUGCCUAACACAUGCAAGUCGAACGGAGUUAAUGAUUUCGGUUGUUAACUUAGUGGCGAACGGGUGAGUAACGCGUGAACAACCUGACCCAAAGAGGGGGAUAACAUUUGGAAACAGAUGCUAAUACCGCAUAAGACCACAACGUCACAUGGCGAAGGGGUCAAAGGAGCAAUCCGCUUUGGGAGGGGUUCGCGUCCCAUUAGGUAGAUGGCGGGGUAACGGCCCACCAUGCCAACGAUGGGUAGCCGAGCUGAGAGGCUGAUCGGCCACACUGGAACUGAGACACGGUCCAGACUCCUACGGGAGGCAGCAGUGGGGAAUAUUGGGCAAUGGGCGCAAAGCCUGACCCAGCAACGCCGCGUGAGGGAAGAAGGUUUUCGGAUUGUAAACCUCUGUCGCAGAAGACGAAGGAAGUGACGGUAUUCUGUGAGGAAGCCCCGGCUAACUACGUGCCAGCCGCCGC